rnacentral:lncRNA from 1 species
UUUAUUUUUAAACUGACAGGGAAGGAUCCAAGACUGCCAGAACUAUUGCAGGAAGUCAGAACAGAAAGACAGAGACGAAAUGGGUCCACGUGAUAUUGUUUGAGUUGCUGGAUCAAUCUUCACCUCAGACUAGAGAGGAGAACUAUCAAAAAACCGAAGAGAAAAGAGAGUUUUGGAAAUUCGGACUGGAGUAACAGACUGGAAUGAGACUUUGGGACUGAGGGUGACCAGAGGCAGGGGUGCUCUGCAUACCAGGAAAGGAUAUGAGAUCCCUUGCAACCUCCUUUCAUGGUCCCCUGAAGCUACAGGAUAUAGUCUCCUCGAAGAAAAAUGGGG